GACGAACCGUGCGAACGUUAUUCGGAAUCACUGGGCUUAAAGCGCGUGUAGGCGGAUUGGAACGUCGGUGCCUGAAAUCCCCCGGCUCAACCGGGGAACGCGGCCCGAAACGACCAGUCUCGAGGGGUGUAGGGGGAACUGGAACUUCCGGUGGAGCGGUGAAAUGCGUUGAGAUCGGAAGGAACGCCCGUGGCGAAAGCGAGUUCCUGGACGCCUGCUGACGCUGAGACGCGAAAGCUAGGGGAGCGAACGGG
rnacentral:rRNA from 1 species